GUCCACACUGUAAACGAUGGAUACUAGGUGUAGGAGGUAUCGACCCUUCUGUGCCGCAGUUAACACAAUAAGUAUCCCACCUGGGAGUACGAACGCAAGUUUGAAACUCAAAGGAAUUGACGGGGCCCGCACAAGCAGUGGAGUAUGUGGUUUAAUUCGAAGCAACGCGAAGAACCUUACCAGGUCUUGACAUCCUUGGAAUCCUUAAGAGAUUAGGGAGUGCCUUCGGGAGCCAAGAGACAGGUGGUGCAUGGUUGUCGU
rnacentral:rRNA from 1 species